rnacentral:lncRNA from 1 species
GCUAUUGGUAAAAAGACUUAUACAAGGAUGUAAAAGAGUUUGUAAGCUCUUAUCAAGAGUAUCAAUUAUAAUUUAAACUAAAAUAUAGAAAUGGUUUAUGUCCUACCUAUCUACAUAUCAUUCAUUUUCAAUAGGUGAUUGAUUUGGUUGCCAUGCCAAUAUAGCUUUGGAGUAUAAUAUAUUUAAUUUUGGUAAGAGAGACUUUUUAAUUAUAUAGAAAGAAAGAUAUUAAAGUCAAAGUCUACAAAAGUAAUAUGUUGAUUUAUUUUAGAAGAUAUUAUAUGUUGUUAUGGAAGCAUUGGAAGAAUAAAAGCAAAUCUGAGUGAUCUUAAU